GGCAGAUUGGUGGGUAUCGGGUAUCACAAACAUGUGGCGCUUGUGUACAAUUAACUUUUACUUCCGGCGGAUAUAAUAGGCCUACCAUGCUGAGUUUUUGUUUGAUACUUUGUGGUUUUACGGCUACUUGAUUUGCAGUUUAAAAGUAAUUUUCUAUUACUACGAAAGCUAGUAGUCCUACUAUUGGUACUACUUUGACAUGUAGCAGAGGCUUCUUAUCCGCAACAACAGGUGGACUAUAGCGCUGUGACGACCUGGGGGGUCUGGUGAUUGACAGCUCCCUCACUGCAGGACAUCCCUUUGAAUGAGGUGGGCGGGUCAAGCAGUCCCUCUGGGCUAGACAUACCUGAACCCGCCAGACGAGUUCGCCUUUGAAAUCUUGCCCAAUGGCCGGGAAGACAGACCUUUUGUGUACGUCGACCUUCACG
ensembl:lncRNA